rnacentral:rRNA from 1 species
GACGAACGCUGGCGGCGUGCCUAAUACAUGCAAGUUGAGCGCUGAAGGUUGGUACUUGUACCAACUGGAUGAGCAGCGAACGGGUGAGUAACGCGUGGGGAAUCUGCCUUUGAGCGGGGGACAACAUUUGGAAACGAAUGCUAAUACCGCAUAAAAACUUUAAACACAAGUUUUAAGUUUGAAAGAUGCAAUUGCAUCACUCAAAGAUGAUCCCGCGUUGUAUUGGCUAGUUGGUGAGGUAAAGGCUCACCAAGGCGAUGAUACAUAGCCGACCUGAGAGGGGGAUCGGCCACAUUGGGACUGAGACACGGCCCAAACUCCUACGGGAGGCAGCAGUAGGGAAUCUUCGGCAAUGGACGAAAGUCUGACCGAGCAACGCCGCGUGAGUGAAGAAGGUUUUCGGAUCGUAAAACUCUGUUGGUAGAGAAGAACGUUGGUGAGAGUGGAAAGCUCAUCAAGUGACGGUAACUACCCAGAAAGGGACGGCUAACUACGUG